rnacentral:rRNA from 1 species
UACGUAGGGUGCAAGCGUUGUCCGGAAUUAUUGGGCGUAAAGAGCUCGUAGGCGGUUUGUCGCGUCUGCUGUGAAAACUCGGGGCUUAACUCCGGGCCUGCAGUGGGUACGGGCAGACUAGAGUGCGGUAGGGGAGACUGGAAUUCCUGGUGUAGCGGUGAAAUGCGUAGAUAUCUGGAGGAACACCGGUGGCGAAGGCGGCAAUCCUGGACCAAUACUGACGCUGAGUGAGCGAAAGCCAGGGGAGCA